CCUCUACUGUAUCAUCUAACACCGCUAUAGUGCCACCCAAUCCCUCUACAGCACAAUCUAGUCCCUCUUCCAUGGGACCCAGUUCCACCCAUGAUAGACCCAAGCUACAUUGAAAGGUACAAAAGACUAAACUCAUCUACCUUCACAGGGGCAUCCUCUUUUGAAGAGGCCGAGUAUUAGUUAGCUGAGACAGAGAAGGCCUUUCCGACUACUGGGGUGGUUCCCGAAUAAAAAGUUGUACUUGCCACCUACAUGCUUGUGGAAGAGACAGGUCACUGUGCAGCUCAAGCAGGCCACCCUGCUCGUUCCAGUCACUUG
rnacentral:lncRNA from 1 species